GGGAAUGUAGCUCAGAGGUAGAGUGCUUGCCUAGCAUGUGAGAAGCCCUGGCUUCAAUCUCCAGUACCACCA
rnacentral:tRNA from 1 species